GCCAGAUGUUGUGGCACAUGUCUGUAGUUCCAGAAAGUCGGGAGGCUGAGGCGGAAGCAGGCUUGAGCCCAGGAGUUCUGGGCUGUGGUACACUAUACCUACUGGGUGUUUGUAUUGAGUUGGGCAUCAAUAUGGUGACCUUCUGGCGGCAGGGGACCAGCAGGUUGCCCAAGGAGGGGUGAGCCAGCCCAGGUCAGAACCAGAAUAGGUCAGAACUCCACCUGCUUAUCAGUAAUGAGAUUGUGCCUGUGAACAGCCAUCACACUCCAGCCUGGGCAACAUAUUGAGACUUCAUUGCUU
rfam:Otolemur garnettii contig046307, whole genome shotgun sequence.